UGAGAUAUCACAACAUGACAACAACAACAUUUUCUCACAAAUACGAGCCCACUGACCUCCCUGGUAACGAAAGAGGUUUCUCAAUUUUAAUUACUUCCCAUUUCUGAAUAUGAUGCAUUAAGAACAGAGUAGGUUCUGAUUUUCGUGUAUUUCUGUUUUGGGUUUUUGGGCAGCAAUGUUGGGGACUGAUACAGGGGCUCAGGACAAGGAGUGGUUCUUCUUCACCAGAAUGUAUUACAAGUACAACAAAAGCUCUCGCUCAAAUCGGAGCACGAAGAAGGGAUACUGGAAAAUCACAGGCAAGGAGCGUGGGAUUAAGGCUCGACGAUCCAAAGCUGUGAUUGGGAGCAAGAGGACAUUGACUUUUUACCAGGAUCGUGUGCCGAAAUCGAACAAGACCAGCUGGGUCAUUCUUGAGUACUAUCUUCCUGGAAAUGGAGUUAUUUCGUAUCUGAAGCAGGCCUAGGGCGACUUUGUUGUCUGUCACUUGAAGAUGGAGCACGAGUAGUAUAAUGAAAUUAAGGUCUUACGUAUAAUUUUGAAUCUGAUUUUAUACUCAGGCACAAGGAAGAGAGGAGUUGCUAUUCCAUCAACCUCAGCCUCUGGGUGACUGCUGCUCCUCAGCACUGCAGUCACCGUCAUCCCUAGAGCUGGAAGCUGUUCUGCAAACCAAUGGCACCAAUGAUGAUUGUAAUGUGUUGCAAUCACUAUUUGGAGAUAGUGAUUCUUGUCUUCUAGACGGGAAUGAAGUUUCAACCUAUGAUGAAGAUGACACUAUGUAUGAUGUGUUUCCACAGCCGCAGGAUUACCGCCCCUCCAUACUGCAGUCACCAAUAUACACAAAGCUGGGAAAUGUUUCACAUCCGCUUCAGCCUGAGCGCAGGAUUACCAGCCCUCAAUAUUGCAGUCACCAAAGUUGGGAAAUGUUUCAGAUGCCAAUCUCUAUUUUGGUGAAUGCAAUGAUUGGCAAUCUGCAUUGAAGAAAAAUGUUUCAAUCAAAGAAGUUGACAUACCGAUUAGACAUAUCUCGUCUAAUUUUGAAAAUCAAGCUACAGAUUAUAGGAUUCUAGUGGUGAGAACGGUAUGCUAUAUUCCUAUAUGAAUUUUAUCCCAACUAAGUAUGUUCGAGCACCAAACUCAAUGCUAGUUUAGUUUUUAUUCUUAAGCCAGGUGCAUCAUCUUCAAACCAAAGAAAAUCUGGAAUCAAUGGUUUAUCCAUUCCGGCCACAAGAUUCUACUCUGCAGUCAAUAACGUACACAAUAUGUGGAGAUGCUCUAGAUAAUAUUGAAUGCAAUGAGUUGCAAUCUUCGUUUGGGAACUAUGACAAUGAGAUGCUCUACAUAAUAUUACUCUUCUGAUCAAACAAUAGAGACUCCUUCCAUAGACUGCAACCAGCUGCCAACGUCAUUGGGAAAGGUCUACCAUGGGGAUAACGAAGUAAGCAGCCAAACACUGAAGUAGCCCAUGGAAAUGUAGUAAUGUACAAUAUUCAUCUGCAUUAGCUAUUGGAAAUACCCUCCAAUGUAGCUAAUGAACUACAAGAGGUCUGAUAUUAUCCUGCAACGAUAUGACAAUCUUCCAAGUAACAUGAACUUUUUUAGCGGUAUUGAUUGUGUGCUCUCCGCACUCAGAUUGUUCGGUACAAUGGUCCCAGACCACAUACAUAAUUAUGAAGAGAAAUGUCACUAAAUUAAUAGCUAGCUGGGUUACUGUUGAAGUAGUAAUUACAUUUACUGAAAUGUACGUAAUAGUUGGUUGGUUGAUGGAAUUUUAUUUACAAAUGUGUAUGAUUGUUGUUGUGUACA